rnacentral:rRNA from 1 species
AACGAACGCUGGCGGCAUGCCUAACACAUGCAAGUCGAACGAAGUCUUCGGACUUAGUGGCGCACGGGUGCGUAACGCGUGGGAAUCUGCCCUUGGGUGCGGAAUAACUUCUCGAAAGGGAUGCUAAUACCGCAUAAUGUCGUAAGACCAAAGAUUUAUCGCCCAAGGAUGAGCCCGCGUAAGAUUAGCUAGUUGGUGGGGUAAAAGCCUACCAAGGCGACGAUCUUUAGCUGGUCUGAGAGGAUGAUCAGCCACACUGGGACUGAGACACGGCCCAGACUCCUACGGGAGGCAGCAGUGGGGAAUAUUGGACAAUGGGCGAAAGCCUGAUCCAGCAAUGCCGCGUGAGUGAUGAAGGCCCUAGGGUUGUAAAGCUCUUUUACCUAGGGAUGAUAAUGACAGUACCUGGAGAAUAAGACUCCGGCUAACUCCGUGCCAGCAGCCGCGGUAAU